rnacentral:tRNA from 3 species
GGAGAGAUGUCCGAGUGGUUUAAGGAAGCAGUCUUGAAAACUGCCGUGCAGCAAUGCACCGUGGGUUCGAAUCCCACUCUCUCCGCCA